rnacentral:rRNA from 2 species
CGGCUGGCGGCAGGCCUAACACAUGCAAGUCGAAGCGGAUGACAGGAGCUUGCUCCUGAAUUCAGCGGCGGACGGGUGAGUAAUGCCUAGGAAUCUGCCUGGUAGUGGGGGACAACGUUUCGAAAGGAACGCUAAUACCGCAUACGUCCUACGGGAGAAAGCAGGGGACCUUCGGGCCUUGCGCUAUCAGAUGAGCCUAGGUCGGAUUAGCUAGUUGGUGAGGUAAUGGCUCACCAAGGCGACGAUCCGUAACUGGUCUGAGAGGAUGAUCAGUCACACUGGAACUGAGACACGGUCCAGACUCCUACGGGAGGCAGCAGUGGGGAAUAUUGGACAAUGGGCGAAAGCCUGAUCCAGCCAUGCCGCGUGUGUGAAGAAGGUCUUCGGAUUGUAAAGCACUUUAAGUUGGGAGGAAGGGCAGUAACUUAAUACGUUGCUGUUUUGACGUUACCGACAGAAUAAGCACCGGCUAACUCUGUGCCAGCAGCCGCGGUAAUACAGAGGGUGCAAGCGUUAAUCGGAAUUACUGGGCGUAAAGCGCGCGUAGGUGGUUUGUUAAGUUGGAUGUGAAAGCCCCGGGCUCAACCUGGGAACUGCAUUCAAAACUGACAAGCUAGAGUAUGGUAGAGGGUGGUGGAAUUUCCUGUGUAGCGGUGAAAUGCGUAGAUAUAGGAAGGAACACCAGUGGCGAAGGCGACCACCUGGACUGAUACUGACACUGAGGUGCGAAAGCGUGGGGAGCAAACAGGAUUAGAUACCCUGGUAGUCCACGCCGUAAACGAUGUCAACUAGCCGUUGGGAGCCUUGAGCUCUUAGUGGCGCAGCUAACGCAUUAAGUUGACCGCCUGGGGAGUACGGCCGCAAGGUUAAACUCAAAUGAAUUGACGGGGGCCCGCACAAGCGGUGGAGCAUGUGGUUAAAUUCGAAGCAACGACGAAGG